rnacentral:rRNA from 1 species
UUUAAUUGAAGAGUUUGAUCAUGGCUCAGAUUGAACGCUGGCGGCAGGCCUAACACAUGCAAGUCGAGCGGCAGCACAGAGGAACUUGUUCCUUGGGUGGCGAGCGGCGGACGGGUGAGUAAUGCCUGGGAAAUUGCCCGGUAGAGGGGGAUAACCAUUGGAAACGAUGGCUAAUACCG